AGCUAGAAAGGUGACAUAAAAUC
rnacentral:miRNA from 1 species